AUCCUUUUGUAGUUCAUAAGUGUGAUUAUUGGGUGGUCAUGAGCUUAUGAGAUGUGCCUCCCUCAAACCUUGUUAGGACAUUGGUACAUUACCUGACAGACU